rnacentral:rRNA from 1 species
GAUGAACGCUGGCGGCGUGCUUAACACAUGCAAGUCGAACGAUGAAGCCCAGCUUGCUGGGUGGAUUAGUGGCGAACGGGUGAGUAACACGUGAGUAACCUGCCCUUGACUCUGGGAUAAGCCUGGGAAACUGGGUCUAAUACCGGAUACGACCAUUGCCCGCAUGGGUUGGGGGUGGAAAGCUUUUGUGGUUUUGGAUGGACUCGCGGCCUAUCAGCUUGUUGGUGAGGUAAUGGCUCACCAAGGCGACGACGGGUAGCCGGCCUGAGAGGGUGACCGGCCACACUGGGACUGAGACACGGCCCAGACUCCUACGGGAGGCAGCAGUGGGGAAUAUUGCACAAUGGGCGAAAGCCUGAUGCAGCGACGCCGCGUGAGGGAUGACGGCCUUCGGGUUGUAAACCUCUUUCAGUAGGGAAGAAGCGAGAGUGACGGUACCUGCAGAAGAAGCGCCGGCUAACUACGUG